UGAUGUCGAUGCGCUACCCCCGGACAC
rnacentral:piRNA from 1 species